UGGUAAACAGUGCUGCAUCUGUGAUCUC
rnacentral:piRNA from 1 species